rnacentral:rRNA from 1 species
AAUCAACGCUGGCGGCGUGCCUCAGACAUGCAAGUCGAACGCGAAAUUUCCCUUCGGGGAGAAAGUAGAGUGGCGCACGGGUGAGUAACACGUAGGUAAUUUGCCUUUGGGUGGGGAAUAACUCAGGGAAACUUGAGCUAAUACCGCAUAAUGCAGCGGCUCGACAUCGAGACAGUUGUUAAAGCGGGGGAUUGGAGCAAUCCGACCUCGCGCCUAAAGAGAAGCCUGCGGCAGAUUAGCUAGUUGGUAAGGUAAUGGCUUACCAAGGCGACGAUCUGUAACCGGCCUGAGAGGGCGGUCGGUCACACUGACACUGACAUACGGGUCAGACUCCUACGGGAGGCAGCAGUCGGGAAUUUUGGGCAAUGGGCGCAAGCCUGACCCAGCAACGCGCGUGAGGAUGAAUUUUCGAUGUAACUUCGCAAGAACAGGAAGAAUAAGUGUGGGACAAUACCCCACAUGAUGACGGUACUGUUUGUAAGCU